GCCUGCGGAGGGAUCAUUACAGAGUUAUACAACUCCCAUACCAUCUGUUAACCUACCCAGUUAUGCCUCGGCGUAAGCUCGGUUGGAGGCACCUGCAGCUACCCUGUAGUUGCGGACUGCCAACUCCAGCCGCGGCCCGCCGGCGGUACACUAAACUCUGUUUUAUUUUAUAUUCUGAGCGUCUUAUUUUAAUAAGUUAAAACUUUCAACAACGGAUCUCUUGGUUCUGGCAUCGAUGAAGAACGCAGCGAAAUGCGAUAAGUAAUGUGAAUUGCAGAAUUCAGUGAAUCAUCGAAUCUUUGAACGCACAUUGCGCCCAUCAGUAUUCUGGUGGGCAUGCCUGUUCGAGCGUCAUUUCAACCCUUAAGCCUAGCUUAGUGUUGGGAAUCUGCUGUACUGCAGUUCCUUAAAGACAGUGGCGGAGCGGCGGUAGUCCUCUGAGCGUAGUAAUUUAUUUCUCGCUUUUGUCAGGCUCUGUCCUCCCGCCAUAAAACCCCCAAUUUUUUAGUGGUUGACCUCGGAUCAGGUAGGAAUACCCGCUGAACUUAAGCAUAUCAAUAGCCGGGAGGAA
rnacentral:rRNA from 1 species